CUCAGCGGCCCUUUGCCACGUUGCCCGUACCGCAAACCGACACAGGUGGGUGGGUGUAAGUGCACCAAGGCGCGCGAGAGAGACCUCUCUAAGGAACUCGGCACAUUAGCCCCGUAACUUCGGGAAAAGGGGUGCUCGCUUCGGCGAGCCACAGUAAAUUGCGUUUAGCGACUGUUUAACAAAAACACAGCACUCUGCCACGUCGUUAAGACAACGUAUAGGGUGUGACAAGUGACCAAUGCGGAAAGAUCAAGGCAAGGGGUUAGCCGCAAGGCGAAGCUCUGAACCUAAGUCCCCGUGAAUGUCGGCCGUAACUAUAACGGUCCUAAGGUAGCGAAAUUCCUUGUCGGGUAAGUUCCGACCUGCACGAAUCUUGUAACGACUGAACGACUGUCUCGGAGAGGUUCUCGGCGAAACUGUAACGGCGGUGAAGAUGCCGCCUGCCCGCAGUAGGACGGAAAGACCCUAUGCACCUUUACUGUAAGCUCGUAUUGGCUUCUGGUUGAUGAUGCUUAGCGUAGGUGGGAGACUUUGAAGGCAUGGCUUCGGUUGUGCUGGAGUCGAAAUGUGAAACACCACUCUUUGUCAACUAGGAGUCUAACCUCGAUCCCGUUAGCCGGGCGAGGGACAGUGCGUGCGGGUCAGUUUGGCUGGGGCGGCUUCCUCCCAAAUGGUAACGGAGGAGCGCGAAGCUGGGCUCAGCAUGGUUGGCAACCAUGCGUCGAGCGUAUGGGUAGAAGCCCGGUUAACUGCGAGACCAACAAGUCAAGCAGAUGCGAAAGCAGGCCCAAAUGAUCCGAUGGUUGAAUGUGGAAUUGCCAUCGCUCAACGGACAAAAGGUACGCUAGGGAUAACAGGCUGAUCGGGACCAAGAGUUCACAUCGACGUCCCGGUUUGGCACCUCGAUGUCGGCUCAUCGCAUCCUGGGGCUGGAGAAGGUCCCAAGGGUCCGGCUGUUCGCCGGUUAAAGCGGUACGCGAGCUGGGUUCAGAACGUCGUGAGACAGUUCGGUCCUUAUCCACUGUGGGCGGAGGAAACUUGAGGGGUUCAUUCCUUAGUACGAGAGGACCGGGAAUGACGCACUUCUGGUGUGGCAGUUGUCGUGUCAACGGCAGCGCUGCGUAGCCACGUGCGGAAGGGAUAAGCGCUGAAAGCAUCUAAGUGCCAAGCCCAUCCCAAGAUAUGGUUUCCCGGACGCAAGUCCCUGAAGACACCAAGCAGACUACUUGGUUGAUAGGCUGGGCGUGCAAGCUCCGUGAGGAGUUUAGCGGACCAGUACUAAUCAGUCGUGAGGCUUGAUUGC
rnacentral:rRNA from 1 species